AGGCAACAGAUUAGGAUAUUCUUCCACCAAGGGGCCGCAAGCCAUGAAGGAAACAACCCCCGGGUUGUGGGAUGAAGGGUUUUCGCCUCCUAAAACCCCUGUUAUAAGAGAAGAACGGGCACUGAGAGUUACCUGUUCAGUGUGUGACGGUAUCUUACCAGAAAGGAACGGCUAAAUACGUGCCAGCAGCCGCGGUAAUACGUAUGUUCCAAGCGUUAUCCGGAUUUAUUGGGCGUAAAGCGAGCGCAGACGGUUAUUUAAGUCUGAAGUGAAAGCCCUCAGCUCAACUGAGGAAUGGCUUUGGAAACUGGAUGACUUGAGUGCAGUAGAGGAAAGUGGAACUCCAUGUGUAGCGGUGAAAUGCGUAGAUAUAUGGAAGAACACCAGUGGCGAAGGCGGCUUUCUGGACUGUAACUGACGUUGAGGCUCGAAAGUGUGGGUAGCAAACAGGAUUAGAUACCCUGGUAGUCCACACCGUAAACGAUGAGUGCUAGAUGUUCGAGGGUUUCCGCCCUUGAGUGUCGCAGCUAACGCAUUAAGCACUCCGCCUGGGGAGUACGACCGCAAGGUUGAAACUCAAAGGAAUUGACGGGGACCCGCACAAGCGGUGGAGCAUGUGGUUUAAUUCGAAGCAACGCGAAGAACCUUACCAGGUCUUGACAUCCCUUGCUAAUCCUAGAAAUAGGACGUUCCCUUCGGGGACAAGGUGACAGGUGGUGCAUGGUUGUCGUCAGCUCGUGUCGUGAGAUGUUGGGUUAAGUCCCGCAACGAGCGCAACCCUUAUUAUUAGUUGCCAGCAUUCAGUUGGGCACUCUAGUGAGACUGCCGGUGACAAACCGGAGGAAGGUGGGGAUGACGUCAAAUCAUCAUGCCCCUUAUGACCUGGGCUACACACGUGCUACAAUGGCAUAUACAACGAGUCGCCAACCCGCGAGGGUGCGCUAAUCUCUUAAAGUAUGUCUCAGUUCGGAUUGUAGGCUGCAACUCGCCUACAUGAAGUCGGAAUCGCUAGUAAUCGCGGAUCAGCACGCCGCGGUGAAUACGUUCCCGGGUCUUGUACACACCGCCCGUCACACCAUGAGAGUUUGUAACACCCAAAGCCGGUGGGGUAACCUUUAGGAGCCAGCCGUCUAAGUGGACAGAGAUGGGA
rnacentral:rRNA from 1 species